rnacentral:rRNA from 1 species
UUAAGCGACUAAGCGUACACGGUGGAUGCCCUGGCAGUCAGAGGCGAUGAAGGACGUGCUAAUCUGCGAUAAGCGUCGGUAAGGUGAUAUGAACCGUUAUAACCGGCGAUUUCCGAAUGGGGAAACCCAGUGUGUUUCGACACACUAUCAUUAACUGAAUCCAUAGGUUAAUGAGGCGAACCGGGGGAACUGAAACAUCUAAGUACCCCGAGGAAAAGAAAUCAACCGAGAUUCCCCCAGUAGCGGCGAGCGAACGGGGAGGAGCCCAGAGCCUGAAUCAGUGUGUGUGUUAGUGGAAGCGUCUGGAAAGGCGCGCGAUACAGGGUGACAGCCCCGUACACAAAAAUGCACAUGCUGUGAGCUCGAUGAGUAGGGCGGGACACGUGGUAUCCUGUCUGAAUAUGGGGGGACCAUCCUCCAAGGCUAAAUACUCCUGACUGACCGAUAGUGAACCAGUACCGUGAGGGAAAGGCGAAAAGAACCCCGGCGAGGGGAGUGAAAAAGAACCUGAAACCGUGUACGUACAAGCAGUGGGAGCCUCUUUUAUGGGGUGACUGCGUACCUUUUGUAUAAUGGGUCAGCGACUUAUAUUCUGUAGCAAGGUUAACCGAAUAGGGGAGCCGAAGGGAAACCGAGUCUUAACUGGGCGUUAAGUUGCAGGGUAUAGACCCGAAACCCGGUGAUCUAGCCAUGGGCAGGUUGAAGGUUGGGUAACACUAACUGGAGGACCGAACCGACUAAUGUUGAAAAAUUAGCGGAUGACUUGUGGCUGGGGGUGAAAGGCCAAUCAAACCGGGAGAUAGCUGGUUCUCCCCGAAAGCUAUUUAGGUAGCGCCUCGUGAAUUCAUCUCCGGGGGUAGAGCACUGUUUCGGCAAGGGGGUCAUCCCGACUUACCAACCCGAUGCAAACUGCGAAUACCGGAGAAUGUUAUCACGGGAGACACACGGCGGGUGCUAACGUCCGUCGUGAAGAGGGAAACAACCCAGACCGCCAGCUAAGGUCCCAAAGUCAUGGUUAAGUGGGAAACGAUGUGGGAAGGCCCAGACAGCCAGGAUGUUGGCUUAGAAGCAGCCAUCAUUUAAAGAAAGCGUAAUAGCUCACUGGUCGAGUCGGCCUGCGCGGAAGAUGUAACGGGGCUAAACCAUGCACCGAAGCUGCGGCAGCGACACUAUGUGUUGUUGGGUAGGGGAGCGUUCUGUAAGCCUGUGAAGGUGUGCUGUGAGGCAUGCUGGAGGUAUCAGAAGUGCGAAUGCUGACAUAAGUAACGAUAAAGCGGGUGAAAAGCCCGCUCGCCGGAAGACCAAGGGUUCCUGUCCAACGUUAAUCGGGGCAGGGUGAGUCGACCCCUAAGGCGAGGCCGAAAGGCGUAGUCGAUGGGAAACAGGUUAAUAUUCCUGUACUUGGUGUUACUGCGAAGGGGGGACGGAGAAGGCUAUGUUGGCCGGGCGACGGUUGUCCCGGUUUAAGCGUGUAGGCUGGUUUUCCAGGCAAAUCCGGAAAAUCAAGGCUGAGGCGUGAUGACGAGGCACUACGGUGCUGAAGCAACAAAUGCCCUGCUUCCAGGAAAAGCCUCUAAGCAUCAGGUAACAUCAAAUCGUACCCCAAACCGACACAGGUGGUCAGGUAGAGAAUACCAAGGCGCUUGAGAGAACUCGGGUGAAGGAACUAGGCAAAAUGGUGCCGUAACUUCGGGAGAAGGCACGCUGAUAUGUAGGUGAAGUCCCUCGCGGAUGGAGCUGAAAUCAGUCGAAGAUACCAGCUGGCUGCAACUGUUUAUUAAAAACACAGCACUGUGCAAACACGAAAGUGGACGUAUACGGUGUGACGCCUGCCCGGUGCCGGAAGGUUAAUUGAUGGGGUCAGCGCAAGCGAAGCUCUUGAUCGAAGCCCCGGUAAACGGCGGCCGUAACUAUAACGGUCCUAAGGUAGCGAAAUUCCUUGUCGGGUAAGUUCCGACCUGCACGAAUGGCGUAAUGAUGGCCAGGCUGUCUCCACCCGAGACUCAGUGAAAUUGAACUCGCUGUGAAGAUGCAGUGUACCCGCGGCAAGACGGAAAGACCCCGUGAACCUUUACUAUAGCUUGACACUGAACAUUGAGCCUUGAUGUGUAGGAUAGGUGGGAGGCUUUGAAGUGUGGACGCCAGUCUGCAUGGAGCCGACCUUGAAAUACCACCCUUUAAUGUUUGAUGUUCUAACGUUGACCCGUAAUCCGGGUUGCGGACAGUGUCUGGUGGGUAGUUUGACUGGGGCGGUCUCCUCCUAAAGAGUAACGGAGGAGCACGAAGGUUGGCUAAUCCUGGUCGGACAUCAGGAGGUUAGUGCAAUGGCAUAAGCCAGCUUGACUGCGAGCGUGACGGCGCGAGCAGGUGCGAAAGCAGGUCAUAGUGAUCCGGUGGUUCUGAAUGGAAGGGCCAUCGCUCAACGGAUAAAAGGUACUCCGGGGAUAACAGGCUGAUACCGCCCAAGAGUUCAUAUCGACGGCGGUGUUUGGCACCUCGAUGUCGGCUCAUCACAUCCUGGGGCUGAAGUAGGUCCCAAGGGUAUGGCUGUUCGCCAUUUAAAGUGGUACGCGAGCUGGGUUUAGAACGUCGUGAGACAGUUCGGUCCCUAUCUGCCGUGGGCGCUGGAGAACUGAGGGGGGCUGCUCCUAGUACGAGAGGACCGGAGUGGACGCAUCACUGGUGUUCGGGUUGUCAUGCCAAUGGCACUGCCCGGUAGCUAAAUGCGGAAGAGAUAAGUGCUGAAAGCAUCUAAGCACGAAACUUGCCCCGAGAUGAGUUCUCCCUGACCCUUUAAGGGUCCUGAAGGAACGUUGAAGACGACGACGUUGAUAGGCCGGGUGUGUAAGCGCAGCGAUGCGUUGAGCUAACCGGUACUAAUGAACCGUGAGGCUUAACCUU